GGGUCGAUAGCUCAGUCGGUAGAGCUGCGGACUUUUAAUCCGUAGGUCGCGGGAUCGUUCCCCGCUCGACCCACCA
rnacentral:tRNA from 1 species